AUCUUUGCGCCCAUUGGUUUAUCCACUGACCAAUAGGAAGGAGGAUUGAAAAUUUUCAAUCCUUAGCUUUAUUGGUUAUCAGAUUUCAGAUGGCUUGCGUUGUGUAAGAGGUUUUUUGCAAUAAGUUUAACGAAUUGUCUAAUUUUGUAGUCGUUUUAACUUUGAUAAUUUCUUUUUUUACCUUUUUAUUUACAAUCUUAAUGAAAUUCCGGGUAAAAUGUAUUUUAAAUAUAUCAUGCUUUUAGAAAUUUUUUUUGAGAGGCAUAAUUAAAAGACAUGUUUUAAACAAAAAGAAUUUUCGGGAGAAACGCAUGUAAACGGAAUCGUAUAGAAAAAAAUCAUAGAACUAUUUAUUAAUUACACCUUUUAAGCUACCAUUGGUAUAGCUAGUUUUCGUCGCGGAAUAACAUGUUGGCCGGCGAACUCAUACAGAAUUUACACACGUGACUGUUUAUACGAGUACUUCCUGCUCUGUGAAUGGUCGAUCCAUAAGCGAAUCAUAGAAAGGUAACCGUUUACACGUGGUUUACACAUUUACCUCGUGCUUACUGAUCAAUACAGUUUCGUUAGUUCGUUGAUACGUCGUUUUGUGAAAUGGAGGCAUCAGCAGAUAAUAUAUGUUCGGGUUGCGAGUAUAACUUCUUCGAGGCAGUGGGCUAUUCGGAAGAGCGUAUCAAAGAGGAAUUGCUUCGCCACGGCAUUUGGCGAAACAAAGUUAACUGCGGUCGGUGUGGCAAUCCUCUAAACGCGCAAGUGAGCGGAUUGCGUUUUCAUUGCGGAAAAACAAUCCGGCGGGGAAAAAAACGUCCGACGAAGUGUGAUUGGAGUAGGUCGGUUUGGGCAGGCACCUUCUUAGAAAAUAAGCAAAUUGACUUUGUUACCCUCUGGCGAUUCAUUCUAACUUUGUUAAUAUGGAAGCCUCCGAGGACUCCUCAGAUAACUCGAUUUCUCGGUCUUACCCAGAAGACCAUCGUUUAUUGGUACUCCUUUUGCAGGGAGGUAUUUAUCCACGAUGUGUUCUCCAAAGCGGAGAGACUCGGAGGACAAGACAGAGUUGUCGAGGUAGGAGAGGCGAAAUUGAAAUGUUGGAAAUUCGAUAAGGAUAGUACGUUCGAAGGCGAAUCGGUUUUUUGGGGUGUGGAGAGAGAGACUCUCCGAAACUUCUUAAUAUCCGUAGAUACAUGUGACGGCGAUACCUUGCUUUCGGUGCUGAGAGAGUGGGUGGUUCCCGGGGCAACAGUUAUGAGCGAUUGCUGGAAGGCGUACGAUUGUCUCGAAAAUGAAGGCUUUCGUCGCCUGACGGUCGAUUAUAGCUAUAACUUUGUUGAUAUCCGGAUAGGCAGCCACCUCAAUCCCACCAACAACACGUGGCGAGAAAUCUGCUCGAGCAUUCCCCGGAAGGGUGUCCGGAAGGACAAAACGCUCGGUUACUUGGCAGAGGGUCUUUUCAAAGCCAAAUAUCCGGACUUAGCAAAACGGCAUCACCACUUCCUCAUUGCCGCCGCUAAACUCUACCCGCCGGAUUACUAGCUUCGUAGGAGUUUGCUCGCAACCACCCUUUUCGGAGUGACCAUUUUUUAAAGAUCUGGUGAGAGAAAAACAAAUAGAGAAGUCUUGAAAAUGCUAGGACAUGAUAGAGAAUUAAUGACCAUCAUAAUGAAAAGAAAGGUUGCUUUUUAUGUCACCUAUUAUAUCAGAAAAGCCUCCAGAAAGAAGUUCUGGAAGGAAGAAUAGAGAGAAAAGAAGACCAAGAUUAAACUGGUCCGACAGCAUCAGAGAAUGGACUUUCAGGAUUGUGUCAGAGAAGCAUAACAUAGAGAAUAGUUUCAUGCAAUGGUAGUCAACUUCCAGAGAGGAGAUGCCACAUAGGAUGAAUGGAAGUCAUCUGGAAAUUUUGACGAUUGUUGAAAGAAGUUGACGACUGUUUGAAAGUGCAAAUAAUUAAUUCCAUAGUUGAUCUAAGUACAAAAUUUUUAACAUUAUAUAGUGAAUAUUCAUCUGGUUUGGAAUUGUUUUCUACAAUUAACACACUAUUAUCUGGAAUGUUUAAUUAAAAAAAUUGAAAGAUUAAUAAUUAUCUCAAUCGACACAAAAGAAACAACUUCUAAAACAAAAGAAACAACCUACAAAAUGUUUAAGAUUCUUAGAACCCAGAAUAGAAGAUAAAUUCGAAGGAAGAAAACAACAUAAAGGUAGUAAAAGUAAAUUAGAAAAGGAAAAAUUAAGAUACCAAUAUAAGAGGGAACUCAAAGGUGCAGUUAAAGAGAUAAGAAGUGACAAUUACUUUUUAGCAAAUCUUAAAUUUAAUGAAGAAUUGGAAAGAAAAGAGAAAGAACUGUAGUGUUGUAGUGUGUUAUGUGAUGAUAUUGUUUACUCUUACUGUUAUUUAUUUACUUUUGAAAUUGUGAAGUAUCGAAAAAUGUUAGUUGUUAUCAGUAAAUUUAAAAAAAUAAACAUUAUUUGAUAAUGGACAAAUAUUAAUAUUGAAUAAUUGAAAUUUUAUUGGGAAAAAUUCGUCAGAAAAAGUCAAUUUAUGUUGUUAUAAGGACGAAGAAUAAUUAUUAUAUAAUUGAUUACUUUUUUUAGACAAUAGAAAUGUUUUAAUAUAUCUUCAUUUGAUUUAGAAUUCUAAUCAACAGAAUUGAUACUUUCAAAAAUCAGAAAUGCUAGUU